rnacentral:pre_miRNA from 1 species
UUGUUCAGGCACUGGAAGUGAGAAUUGGAGGAAAACAAACUGAUUGCUGGUUGUUGUUUGCAACAGUGUGGCAAACAAUGUUCAGCUUGUUUUUCUCCAAUAUCUCACCUUCAGGUUGAUUGCUUGA